rnacentral:tRNA from 1 species
GAGUAUUAAAGAAAAAGAGAGAAGCUUCUAACUUCCAUCUAAGCGGUUAAAUUCCGUUUAUACUCCUA